UAACACAUGCAAGUCGAACGCGAAAGGGACUUCGGUCCUGAGUAAAGUGGCGCACGGGUGAGUAACGCGUGGAUAAUCUGCCCUUAUGAUUGGAAUAACAGUUGGAAACGGCUGCUAAUACCGGAUACGCUCAAAAUGAACUUUUUGAGGAAAGAUGGCCUCUGCUUGCAUGCUAUCGCAUAAGGAUGAGUCCGCGUCCCAUUAGCUUGUUGGCGGGGUAACGGCCCACCAAGGCAACGAUGGGUAGCCGAUUUGAGAGGAUGAUCGGCCACACUGGAACUGARACACGGUCCARACUCCUACGGGAGGCAGCAGUGGGGAAUAUUGCGCAAUGGGCGAAAGCCUGACGCAGCGACGCCGCGUGAGUGAUGAARKYCCUCGGAUYGUAAAGCYCUGUURUAUGGGAAGAGCAGAAGACGGUACCAUACGAGGAAGCCCCGGCA
rnacentral:rRNA from 1 species